ACAAUUUCAGUAUAAAAACAUCUGAAUUUGUUUUAUAUCACCCCGGGAACUGCAGCGGAGGAGGUAUUAAGUGUUACUCCUGUCCGUCCGUGAGUACGUAUACGAACGUUCCAACAAUAAGUUUCCGUUCUCUAAUUUUAUUUUGCCUCAACCAAAUUUUAUGAAACGCAAUACCAUAAUACACAGAUCAAGUAGGAAUUUGGGUGACGUCACUUUUACUAUGCUUGAGUAAUGACUCUUUAUAACGUUAUAUGCAAGCUGGGGCAUUAUCUGUGUCCAAUGGACACGUUCCCCGUUUAUUUGGUUAGAUUCAGUAAUUCACAGAAGGUCUGAGUAAAAUUUUACAUUUAAAAUAAUUAUCUACAUGGAAAUCAAGCAGUUGGAUUGUUUGGCAAUGUGGUUAGAGCUCAGAUAGACAGGUUAAUAGCUGUGACGGAGCUUGAAGAGAGCGUAGAAAACAAUAAAAACAAGUGAAACUGCGAGCUACUGCUCACUGAUGAUACCCCCGCCGCAAGUGGAUAAUAUUAAUAAUGUAAAAAUAUGCAAGUGUUCGGUAAACAGGAAGUUGUCGAGUGAUGAAUCUGAAAACGCAUCACACGGUAUAGCUGACUUAUAUAAAUCCUGAAACCAAAUUUCAGAAAUCCUUGUAUUGUAGUUCCUGAGAAAAAUGUGACGAAAAUUUUCAACUUGGCUAUCAUGUGUAAAAUCAUACAAGUGUUCGGUAAACAGGAAGUUGUCAAGUGAUCAAUCUGAAAACGCAUCACAAGGUAUAGCUGACUUAGAUAAACCCUGAAACCAAAUUUCAGAAAUCCUUGUAUUGUAGUUCCUGAGAAAAAUGCGACGAAAAAUAUUCAUGGGACGGACGGACUGACUGACGGACUGACGGACUGACGGAAGGACAGACAGAGGUAAAACAGUAUACCCCCCUUUUUUAAAGCGGGGGU
rnacentral:lncRNA from 1 species